GGUUCGGUGAGGGGUGUUCAGUUGGUCGGUCGAGAGUAGCAUCGUCCUGCUCAGUCGAUAUAUAGUCGGUAGUCGCUUCUAGGAUUGUCUGUUCAUUUGGUGGGUCAGAGUCGGGUAUCGAUCGGUGUGUGUCGAAGAUCGAUCGAUUUAUGAAGGUCGAUCGGUUUACUCCAACAGAAUUUUAUGCUGAAAGUCCUUUUGUAUACUUUAUACAUGUGACUCUGCUUUUUGUUCUUUUUGAUUUCAUUUUUCUCUCCU
rnacentral:lncRNA from 1 species